rnacentral:rRNA from 1 species
GACGUAGGGUGCAAGCGUUGUCCGGAUUUACUGGGCGUAAAGAGCGCGUAGGCGGCUCGUUAAGUGAGAAGUGAAAGCUCUGGGCUCAACCCAGAAACCGCUUUUCAUACUGGCAAGCUGGAGUGAUGCAGAGGCGGAUAGAAUUCCCGGUGUAGCGGUGAAAUGCGUUGAUAUCGGGAGGAAUACCCGUGGCGAAGGCGGUCCACUGGGCAUCAACUGACGCUGAGGCGCGAAAGCGUGGGUAGCAAACAGG